rnacentral:rRNA from 1 species
GAUGAACGCUGGCGGCGUGCCUAACACAUGCAAGUCGAACGGAGAUUACGGACGGAAGUUUUCGGAUGGAAGACUGUAAUUCUUAGUGGCGGACGGGUGAGUAACGCGUGGGCAACCUGCCCUAUACAGGGGGAUAGCAGCUGGAAACGGCUGGUAAGACCGCAUAAGUCGGCGAGACCGCAUGGUUUUGCCGGGAAAUGAGCAAUCAGGUAUAGGAUGGGCCCGCGUCCGAUUAGCCAGUUGGCAGGGUAAAAGCCUACCAAAGCAACGAUCGGUAGCCGGACUGAGAGGUCGGACGGCCACAUUGGGACUGAGACACGGCCCAAACUCGUACGGGAAGCAGCAGUGGGGGAUAUUGCACAAUGGAGGAAACUCUGAUGCAGCGACGCCGCGUGAGUGAAGAAGUAUUUCGGUAUGUAAAGCUCUAUCAGCAGGGAAGAUGAUGACGGUACCUGACUAAGAAGCCCCGGCUAACUACGUG